UGUGCAGAAACCCCAUUUCCGGCUCUGCAGCAGCAAGACCACAGGACCACCCAGCUCCAGUGACACUUCAAAAGCCUGUCAGGUGGCCGGCAGAAUAAGAGCCAUUUCACCAGUAGGAAGAGCCCCAAGGAUGCAGCCCGGACCACUUGCUCUCUUGUGCGCAGUCUUUGCCUUCAUCUGCUUUGGUUCCAGCAAUACACAGAGAAUCAUUCAACCUACAAAUGAAGUGUACAGGCAAGAGGGAGACUCUGUGACCUUGGACUGCAAAAUCACAGUCAGUUAUGCUUACUAUAUGAUGUACUGGUAUCAACAGCUUUCCAGUGGAGAGAUGACUCACAUCAUUCAACUACAUUCUGACCGCAGGUUGUCAAGGGAAGGACGAUAUUCUGUGGUGUUUCAGAAACCAACCCUAGAGCUCACCAUCUCAGCCUUGACGUCUAGAGACUCAGCUGUCUAUUUCUGUGCUGUAGCACAAGCAUCCCACAGUGAAAGUAGUGAUGGGAAGAGCCUUACAAAAACCCCAAGUCUCAGCAUGAGACAGCCAGCUGCUCCAGAAGCCUGGGAGAGAACAACCCACAGGACAGGAAGAGGGUAG